AUUGAACGCUGGCGGCAUGCCUUACACAUGCAAGUCGAACGGUAACGGGCCUUCGGGUGCCGACGAGUGGCGAACGGGUGAGUAAUGUAUCGGAACGUACCUUUCAGUGGGGGAUAACGUAGCGAAAGUUACGCUAAUACCGCAUAUUCUGUGAGCAGGAAAGCAGGGGAUAGCAAGACCUUGCGCUGCUUGAGCGUGCGAUAUCAGAUUAGCUAGUUGGUGAGGGAAAGGCUCACCAAGGCGACGAUCUGUAGCGGGUCUGCGAGGAUGAUCCGCCACACUGGAACUGAGACACGGUCCAGACUCCUACGGGAGGCAGCAGUGGGGAAUUUUGGACAAUGGGGGCAACCCUGAUCCAGCCAUGCCGCGUGAGUGAAGAAGGCCUUCGGGUUGUAAAGCUCUUUCGGCCGGGAAGAAAUCGUAUCAGCUAAUACCUGGUGCGGAUGACGGUACCGGCAUAAGAAGCACCGGCUAACUACGUGCCAGCAGCCGCGGUAA
rnacentral:rRNA from 1 species